rnacentral:rRNA from 1 species
GUGUCAGCCGCCGCGGUAAUACGUAGGGGGCGAGCGUUGUCCGGAAUUACUGGGCGUAAAGAGCGUGUAGGCGGGUGCUUAAGUCAGGUGUGAAAGACCGAGGCUCAACCUUGGGGUUGCAUUUGAAACUGCCUGACUUGAGUGCAGGAGAGGGAAGUGGAAUUCCCGGUGUGGCGGUGAAAUGCGUAGAUAUCGGGAGGAACACCAGUGGCGAAGGCGGCUUUCUGGCCUGUAACUGACGCUGAGGCGCGAAAGCUGGGGGAGCGAACAGGAUUAGAUACCCUGGUAGUCCCAGCCGUAAACGAUGGGUACUAGGUGUUGGGGGGUAAAGACCCUUCAGUGCCGAAGCUAACGCGAUAAGCAUCCCACCUGGGGAGUACGGCCGCAAGGUUGAAACUUAAAUGAAUUGGCGG